rnacentral:rRNA from 1 species
CCUACGGGGGGCAGCAGUGGGGGAUAUUGCACAAUGGGGGAAACCCUGAUGCAGCGACGCCGCGUGUGUGAAGAAGUAUUUCGGUAUGUAAAGCUCUAUCAGCCGGGAAGAAAAUGACAGUACCUGACCAAGAAGCCCCGGCUAACUACGUGCCAGCAGCCGCGGUAAUACGUAGGGGGAAAGCGUUAACCGGAUUUACUGGGUGUAAAGGGAGCGUAGACGGUUAUGUAAGUCUGAGGUGAAAGCCCGGGGCCCAACCCCGGGACUGCUUUGGAAACUGUGUAACUGGAGUACAGGAGGGGCAGGUGGAAUUCCAGGUGUAGCGGUGAAAUGCGUAGAGAUGAGGAGGAACACCUGCGGCGAAGGCGGCCUGCUGGACAGAGACUGACGUUGAGGCGCGAAAGCGUGGGGAGCAAACAGGAUUAGAUACCCGUGUAGUC